rnacentral:rRNA from 1 species
UACGUAGGGUGCGAGCGUUGUCCGGAAUUAUUGGGCGUAAAGAGCUCGUAGGCGGUGUGUCACGUCGGCCGUGAAAACCUGCAGCUUAACUGUGGGCGUGCGGUCGAUACGGGCAUCACUGGAGUUCGGCAGGGGAGACUGGAAUUCCUGGUGUAGCGGUGAAAUGCGCAGAUAUCAGGAGGAACACCGGUGGCGAAGGCGGGUCUCUGGGCCGAUACUGACGCUGAGGAGCGAAAGCGUGGGGAGCAAACAGA